GAUGAACGCUGGCGGCGUGCCUAAUACAUGCAAGUCGAGCGAACGGACGAGAAGCUUGCUUCUCUGAUGUUAGCGGCGGACGGGUGAGUAACACGUGGAUAACCUACCUAUAAGACUGGGAUAACUUCGGGAAACCGGAGCUAAUACCGGAUAAUAUUUUGAACCGCAUGGUUCAAAAGUGAAAGACGGUCUUGCUGUCACUUAUAGAUGGAUCCGCGCUGCAUUAGCUAGUUGGUAAGGUAACGGCUUACCAAGGCAACGAUGCGUAGCCGACCUGAGAGGGUGAUCGGCCACACUGGAACUGAGACACGGUCCAGACUCCUACGGGAGGCAGCAGUAGGGAAUCUUCCGCAAUGGGCGAAAGCCUGACGGAGCAACGCCGCGUGAGUGAUGAAGGUCUUCGGAUCGUAAAACUCUGUUAUUAGGGAAGAACAUAUGUGUAAGUAACUGUGCACAUCUUGACGGUACCUAAUCAGAAAGCCACGGCUAACUACGUGCCAGCAGCCGCGGUAAUACGUAGGUGGCAAGCGUUAUCCGGAAUUAUUGGGCGUAAAGCGCGCGUAGGCGGUUUUUUAAGUCUGAUGUGAAAGCCCACGGCUCAACCGUGGAGGGUCAUUGGAAACUGGAAAACUUGAGUGCAGAAGAGGAAAGUGGAAUUCCAUGUGUAGCGGUGAAAUGCGCAGAGAUAUGGAGGAACACCAGUGGCGAAGGCGACUUUCUGGUCUGUAACUGACGCUGAUGUGCGAAAGCGUGGGGAUCAAACAGGAUUAGAUACCCUGGUAGUCCACGCCGUAAACGAUGAGUGCUAAGUGUUAGGGGGUUUCCGCCCCUUAGUGCUGCAGCUAACGCAUUAAGCACUCCGCCUGGGGAGUACGACCGCAAGGUUGAAACUCAAAGGAAUUGACGGGGACCCGCACAAGCGGUGGAGCAUGUGGUUUAAUUCGAAGCAACGCGAAGAACCUUACCAAAUCUUGACAUCCUUUGACAACUCUAGAGAUAGAGCUUUCCCCUUCGGGGGACAAAGUGACAGGUGGUGCAUGGUUGUCGUCAGCUCGUGUCGUGGGAUGUUGGGUUAAGUCCCGCAACGAGCGCAACCCUUAAGCUUAGUUGCCAUCAUUAAGUUGGGCACUCUAAGUUGACUGCCGGUGACAAACCGGAGGAAGGUGGGGAUGACGUCAAAUCAUCAUGCCCCUUAUGAUUUGGGCUACACACGUGCUACAAUGGACAAUACAAAGGGCAGCGAAACCGCGAGGUCAAGCAAAUCCCAUAAAGUUGUUCUCAGUUCGGAUUGUAGUCUGCAACUCGACUACAUGAAGCUGGAAUCGCUAGUAAUCGUAGAUCAGCAUGCUACGGUGAAUACGUUCCCGGGUCU
rnacentral:rRNA from 1 species